CUCCCGCACUGGGCCUUCAGUCGGCCUGGUCUACUCUCCGAGCCUCGGCACGUCUGGUCCGCCCCCUUGGGGCCUACAGCCUAUCCGGACCGCUCGCUGGGCCUUUGGGAUAACCGGUCCACCCUGGGUAUGUUGGCCUACAGCACAGAGCAGGACAUGCCUCAACGCAACCCCAGUCCAAAAACCAUGUGCACAUAAACAUUCAAUCAUAUAACAAUUCACAUCCAAUCAAACCGAUCUAGCAGAUCAUAUAGCAUAACAUCAUCCUAACCAGGAUACCGACCUAACCGGUCACUAGCAUAAACCAUCCUAACUACCAGCAUGCAACAUAGCAUAGCAAUAACAUAACAACGAUACCCGGAUCACAAUCCAAUAAAGGGUCGGCCUUGGUGCCGUAGACCCUGUCGAUAUAGUGAGGAUAACUCACGUGCAACUAUUGAGUGAAGAGAUAAGACCAAGAUGCUCCAACCACUGACACGAUCUCCACCACUAGCCAACACCAAAACACUGAACUCAAAAACAAUUGCCAAUAAUUACCAAAAUGCCCCUGAAAGUCAACUGGUCAACCCUUGGUCAAAGUCAAAGUCAAAGUCAAACUCCUGACUGACUCUACUCCCCGAGUCAACCCGCUGACUCGUCGAGUCCCCAUGCUCAGAACUUCCCAAUCCGUGACUCAACUCGNGACUCAACUCGCCGAGUCACCCCGAGACUCGCCGAGUCCAACAACUCUGAGUCCCCUCGCACUCAACUCAUCGAGUCCUCCCUUGACUCAUCGAAUCACGGCUCAACUAGAAGAAGGUUAGGACCUCACGACCAGACUCGCCGAGUCCUAGGCUAUCUUCAACCAACUCGUCGAGUUGUUCUUCCAACUCUUCGAGUUCUUGCCCAUCUUCAAGCAACUCGUCGAGUACACCCUUGUGACUCGCCGAGUACCCCUAGAUCUUAAUCCAUACAGAAGCUUUCCAGGCCAUGCAGAUGAUCCAAACCAUAGAUCUACCCUUCUACAACCCAUCCAUCACGUAAAGUGGCAAACUUUACGUGAAUCCAAAGAGAUCUAAGCAUAUAACACUCUAGGGUUAGGGUUUGGGACAAGAUGGCUUCACCAAACACUCAAGAACAGGGACUUUAAUGCACUCUAGACCUUCUCCAUUCCAGAUCUGAGGUAGCAACCUCAGAUCCAACCUCCAAACUCAAAAUACCACAAGCUAAUCUUUCCAAAUACUCCAAAAUGAUGAAUCUAGAUGAAUAACAGCCCAAGCAACGAAAUAAUACCUCAAAAGGAAGCUCCAACAGAAGAGAAAUCUGAAUCCUAGCAAAGCCCCUUGCUCCAAGCCUCUUAACUCUCCAAGAUCUCUUCCAAAAUCUCUUCUCCAAGGUUCAAAUGCUCUCAAAACACUCACAAACGCGCAUUAGGGUUUUCUGGACUUCAAGAGAGGGUAAAGAGGCUGGGGAGAGGGUAUAAUGUCCUUUAUAUAGGGCUCAUCCCUCGAAAUUAGGGUUUUCUCCACACAGCACCAACUCGCCGAGUCCAGCCGCCGACUCGCCGAGUUGGCCACUUAACAUGCGACCAGAAUCGCGACCCUACUCGCCGAGUUCAUCCAUGGACUCGCCGAGUUUCCCAUUCACAUUUUCACUUUGAACCCUGAACUUGCACUCCUGAACUCGGGAUGUUACAAUUCUCCCCCACUUAAAUUAGGCUUCGUCCUCGAAGCCUGCAGCUACACAACUCCAGAACUACUCUUGCAAUGCACCUCCUGGCAUUAACCAGACCAGGUUCCUUAAAACACAACCAUCGAAACCCAAAACCCAACUUUCCCUCUUGCGGUGUCCUGACCACCGCUUCAAGCCGGCCACCGGCCUCAUCCUCUGAUAACCACACUUAUCAACCAAGUACCACUCCAUGAUACUUCACUCACUCGAAAUCACAACAAUCACUUGACUCAUACGAGCUAGAAAUAACCCUGAACCACCGGGAUCCCGAUCUGAGUCCAACUUCUUCCACUCCAUGCUAACAGGAUGACACAUCUUUCAGCCUCAGAGCAACUCCCAUGAUCUCCUCUGCNAUCUCAUACCCAUGCUGAACUGGCUCUAGCAUCCUCGGGUUGGGAAAACCUGAUACACUGACGACACCUCCAAACAUCCCCCAGAAUGAAUUUCCACCACAUACAUAAUUCCUUGGUCAAAUCAAACUGGGAAUCCAAGACUCCAUCCCUGCAUCCCUUCCGAGCCUCUUGCCUCUACACCCUCGGAAUCCCUUCCGUGACCUCAGCAGACAUCCAACCCGGAUGUGAUUCCACACCACCGCCGUAACCCACUGCUCAAUAACCAUAAUUGGAACACUCCAAUCUUACCUCCGCACUACUGCUUUCACUUCCGAGAACUUACACUCCCUCUCGGAGCUAUAUUCCUUUCCUUUUCCUUACCAAGGAAAUCCACUUGGCUGCCUUGACACUACCACAAGUGCCACGGUGCUCACCCGAUACUACACCAUUCCCUUAUAGUAUAACCGUUAUCUCAUGCACCACACAUGCUCUGAAUCCGCUCGCAAGGACUCUCGAGUCCAUGCACUACCUUCCACUAAUCACGAUCAAUACCCGGGGCCAGACCUUCUGAUGCUUUCACAUCGCGACAUACUCAUUCCAAAUCCUCAUACAGACCUAUCAACACAUGCAGAGUCUUCAGCAUGACUGGACCGCCUUAUCAGGCCUUCAGCCAAUCUAGACCACUCUCAGAACCUUCAGCAGGUCUGGACCGCCCUCCAGUGCCUUCAGCCUGUUUCGACCGUCCUCCGAGCCUUCGACCUGACUGGUACGCCCACCGGCCUUCAGUCUAUCCGGAUCGCUCAACUAGCAUUCAUCAUUCUGAGUUAUCCCUCCAGGAAAACUCUCCCAUGCAUACUGUUCUAGCCCUCUAGGGGUUCCGAACUCUAUCUCCAACCUUCAUACUCAAUCCCGGUCCGAUCUCAGGCCUUCCACAAUCAAUCACCCUUUCUCACAAAACCCUUGGUCUGUAUCCCGCUCCGUCUGCCUGUCACUUACUUAUACCAGCCUACGCUCUUGGCUAACAGAACCACUGUUGAAUCCCAACAGCUAACAAUCUCUCAUUCUUAUCGAUCUUCCGGAGAAUUUCUAAUUCUCCCCACUUAGAGCACUAACUAUCAACCACCGAUCGCCAUCACCGACCUCCCUUAACAGCCCUACACAACACAAUCCCUUACACGCGAACUGAUUCCCACCAGAACGAGCAACCUUCACAAAAUUACAUAUCAACACAGAUCGUCUCGGACAUCAAAAGAAACCCAACAUUCAGCAAACCACUCCUCAAACUGCAGAUGUUACCAGACAUUCAGACCAAAAGACGGAUUUCCCACUAAUAAUCCUCAUGAAUGAUAACCAACGAAAUUCCCAAUACCAAAACCCAUAACCAUACCACAACCCUCAAGGAACAACGAAAACAAUACCAACAAUCACACAACGAGACUAGCAGAUAAACAAUACUCCAUAAUAAUCACAAAAUAACAAGACAUCAAGAAAGAAACAUACCCAUAGCUGCAUCCGGCAUUGCCCUGACCUCCUCUGUUGUAAGCUGAAAAGCACGACCCUGAGCCCUUGGGGGCUCCGCUCCACCCUGACCUCCACCCGUAAUCCUCAAAGUGGCUGGUGCUGGAGCCUGCACCGGUCCUGCAGCAAGCUGUGGAUAGUUGACCCUCAAGUGUCCAACCUAAUGGCAGUGAUAACAAAUCCUCAAAUCCUAAAUCGGGGCUGUUUGCCGACAAUCCCGUGCAUAGUGCCCCUCUCUCGCACACUUGUGGCAUGCACCACCGGACCUACAAACUCCGGUGUGACCCUUCCCACACUUCCCACAAGUGCGGCUGCUCUGAUCUCCCAAUCUAGAAUCAACGGUCUUGGACCGUUUCGGCGCCAGCUGCAACUGUGUCGGGGCCUGCCUUUGUUCCCUCAACUGCAACUCAAUCUCCAACUCAUGCCUCCUGGCGGCCUCCUGCAACUCUAACAACGUCUCGCACCUCUGUGUAGAAACAAACUGCCUGAUAUCCCUCUUGAGCAUACUCAGAUACCGAGACAUCUGAGCCUGCUCCGAAGCAAACUCAGGGCAAAACAUCGCCCUCUCAGUGAACAUCCUGGUGAUCUCCGUCACCGACUCCGAGUCUUGCUUCAACUCCAGGAACUCCUAAGCCAAUCUCUCCCUCUCAACGCGCGGAACAUAACGACAGCUAAACAUCUAUCGAAACUGAUCCCAAGAAACCGCAGCCCUCUGCGCAUCCGAAUCGCCUGCUCCGAAGCAAACUCAGGGCAAAACAUCGCCCUCUCAGUGAACAUCCUGGUGAUCUCCGUCACCGACUCCGAGUCUUGCUUCAACUCCAGGAACUCCUAAGCCAAUCUCUCCCUCUCAACGCGCGGAACAUAACGACAGCUAAACAUCUAUCGAAACUGAUCCCAAGAAACCGCAGCCCUCUGCGCAUCCGAAUCUGACCCUGUCGUCAAUCUCCACCAAUCCUUCGCCCCGAGCCUCAACAGGUUCAGAGCACACCUCACUCUCUGAUUAGCAGGGCAUGAACACGUGAAGAAAAACCCCUCCACGUCCGACAACCAUCUCAUAGCAACAAUCGGAUCCUGAACCCCAUCAAAGGUAGGGGGCUUCGUAUUAUCGAAGUCCCGAUACUGAAAACCNGCUACAGCCAUUGUAGUUGCCGUGGCAGCCGUCUCUACGAGAGCUGCAUAGCGCUCAUCAAAAUACUCAACCAUGGCGGUCUUGAUCGAUCCAAACAGUUCCGGCAACUCGGCCUGGAACAAUGCAGCAACCUCAUCAUGCAGGAUCUCACGAAUCCUAGCAUCCAACUCGCCUGUGCUCAUCUGACCAAUAACCUCGGGCGGUACUGACCCACCCUGACCGCCCUCUCCUGCUCCCGAUCCUGACCCGGAUCCACUCCCAGCAUGCCUCGUAACCACCAUACUGAAAAACAUCGCAAGAUCUCAGAUACUUCCCACUAACCCGGGAACCAACCCCCAACCCAACCCUAGAGGUUGUGGCUUCUUUGAUACGUGUAUGGGUCCUGUACUUUCCGUAGUACGGGCCCAUACUACCUUCACACCUACCCAUAUUUAUAUCAAUUAUCACCACAACACCCUAGUGAAGAACAUACAUAACAAGCAGACAACCCUCACUCCUAGAGGAACACGGGAAAUCUCCCUCAGAAGAAACCCUAGGCUAGCAGGCAUCAUAAAUCAGGCAACAUUAUCAUGAAAUCCAGAAGAUCCCUAGCCUAGUACUAGCAUGUUGUUCUAUCAUAACUAAAAACAAAACAAAUAUCAUGUAUGGUAUUUUGGGGUUACUUACUGGCUCCGGCUGAUCCUACCUCCGCGUCCUCCUUUACUCAUUUUGAAAGCCAUUUUAAAUUCUCUUUUUGAAAACACCCAUGAUUUGAGACUGCAUUCACACGAAUGUUCCUCCAAUUCACUCAAACCAAGGCACUGAUACCAACUUGUAACGUUCUAAAAUUUUCAACCAAUUUAAACUUUUCAAAAACAACCCCAUUUCAUUAAGUUAUUACAAAAAGGUUUUCAAUACAAUUAUUAUCAUUGUCUUCCCAGAACCACAUCAUAAAACAUAAUCAUGAGGAGCGGUAUGAUCACGCCUUUGCCUUGCCACGGUCUCCUGAAGAACCUGAAAAACAAUUAAACCACAACUGUAAGCCCGAAAGCUUAGUGAGAUACCCCCAAAAUACCAACCACAUAUACCAUACACGCACAACAUGCCAUAUCAUAACAGAACACAGAACAGCCAUGCACUUCGGGUCUAUUGUGUGACUGGUCCGCCGCACCGGCCUUCAGUCCACCUGGUCCACCCUCCGAGUCUAGCCAUAUACAUCGAGUCUACAGUGUGGUUGGUCCGCCCGCACCGGAUCUUCAAUCCACCUGGUCCACUAUCUGAGUCUACUGUAUAACUGGUCCGCCCGCACUGGGCCUUCAAUCGGCCUGGUCCACUCUCCGAGCCUCGGCACGUCUGGUCCGCCCUCUUGGGGCCUACAGCCUAUCCGGACCGCUCACUACGCCUUCGGGAUAACCGGUCCGCCCUGGGUAUGUUGGCCUACAGCACAAAGCAGGACCCACCUCAACCCAAACCCCAGUCCAACAACCAUGUGCACAUAAACAUUCAAUCGUAUAACAUUUCACAUCCAAUCAAACCGAUCUAGCAGAUCACAUAGCAUAACAUCAUCCUAACCAGGAUACCGACCUAACCGGUCACUAGCAUAAACCAUCCUAACUACCAGGAUGCAACAUAGCAAAGCAAUAACAUAACAACGAUACCCGGAUCACAAUCCGAUAAAGGGCCGGCCUUGGUGCCGUAGACCCUAUCGAUAUAGUGAGGAUAACUCACCUGCAACUGUUGAGUGAAGAGCUAAGACCAAGCUGCUCUGACCACUGACACGAUCUCCACCA
rnacentral:lncRNA from 1 species